rnacentral:rRNA from 1 species
UACGGAGGGUGCGAGCGUUACCCGGAUUUACUGGGUGUAAAGGGCGUGUAGGCGGUUUCUCAAGUCCGAUGCUAAAGACCGAAGCUCAACUUCGGGAGUGCGUUGGAUACUGUGAGGCUAGACGGUCGGAGAGGGUAGCGGAAUUUCCUGAGUAGCGGUGAAAUGCGCAGAUACAGGAAGGAACGCCAAUAGCGAAAGCAGCUACCUGGACGAUUUGUGACGCUGAGGCGCGAAAGCGUGGGGAGCAAACCGGAUUAGAUACCCGCGUAGUCC